rnacentral:rRNA from 1 species
GACGAACGCUGGCGGCGUGCUUAACACAUGCAAGUCGAACGGAAAGGCCCUGCUUUUGUGGGGUGCUCGAGUGGCGAACGGGUGAGUAACACGUGAGUAACCUGCCCUUGACUUUGGGAUAACUUCAGGAAACUGGGGCUAAUACCGGUUAGGGGCUCCGGCUGCAUGGUGGGGGUUGGAAAGUUUCGGCGGUUGGGGAUGGACUCGCGGCUUAUCAGCUUGUUGGUGGGGUAGUGGCUUACCAAGGCUUUGACGGGUAGCCGGCCUGAGAGGGUGACCGGCCACAUUGGGACUGAGAUAGGGCCCAGACUCCUACGGGACGCAGCAGUGGGGAAUAUUGCACAAUGGGCGGAAGCCUGAUGCAGCAACGCCGCGUGCGGGAUGACGGCCUUCGGGUUGUAAACCGCUUUCGCCUGUGACGAAGCGUGAGUGACGGUAAUGGGUAAAGAAGCACCGGCUAACUACGUG